ACGAAUUAAACGAGGUAUGACAUUCCACUUUUGAACAACUACUUUUAUUGCUAUCUAACUAAAAUAUAUUUUUCGGCUGUAGGUUAAAUUUUGUUUUUGAAUUAGCAUAUAACAACAAAUUUCUUGCAGUGCAAUGGCUGAAUAAGGAGAACACACACUAAUACCUGGUCGAGCUAGCUUCUCUGGGCGCUUUUGCCUUGAACGCAUUUUUCACACAUGUUAAGUGCAUCUCCGCCCCUCUCUGUAGAUGCAUCUGUCCCUGCCCCUGCCCCUGCUCCGUCCCGCUGUUGUUCAAUAAAUAGCUUGCAACAUGGUGUCCAGUUUUCAUCUCAUUUCCGCCUGUCCUCUCCCCUCUUCCCCCUCCAUCACGGCCAGCAGUUUCCUUUGUCAGCCAUAAAAACGCCCGAAAAUGUUGCAUACUUUCUGGGGAGCUCCUGUGUGUUGCCUCAAGUGUUUGCCGCAGUUUCAUGCGCUUUUUACGACACUUUGUACCUCCUGCCAACGCAGCCAGGGCCAACUUGUGCCUUUCAAAGGCAUAAUUUGACAGCAAAUUGUUCAGUUUAUAGCCAGGCACUAAAUAUUCUUUCAACUUUCGGCUGUGAAAGUGCAGAGAUGGGCUCCAUGCAAAAUAUAUUUCGCAUACAAUGUGCCAGCAGCCUUCGCCCCACUUCACACUCUAAAUCCAUCUAGCUGGCUGCAAAAAACUUGGCUAUUUCCACAUCGUUUUGUUUCCAAACUUGGCUUGAAAUAAUGCAACAAAGUUGGGCCAGGAUUAGCAGGAGCGAUGCACCCACCGGAUGUAAUGGCCAAAUGAGUUUUAGGUUUUUUUUUUCCUCCUUUAGCUGCCUCUUAUCAGACACACAAGCAGCAUAAAAAAUGUCUUAAUUCACACAAAAUUUCACUGGAGCUAAGCGGAUUGUCCGACCAACUGACUUGGAAAAAGUGAGUGGCCAGCGAAUGCCAUAAAGUUAUUAGAUUCUCCUACUUAGUAAUUAGUUUCGCAUACGUGGCUGCGUUUCAGUGGUCAGGAUAAUUGCGGUUAAGCGACAGGCACAAGCUGCUGGAAAUAUGAACAAAAUUAAGUUGUCUUGUUAAACUUUAAGAUAUUUUUGCACAUUUUUAUGUGCAAUUACAAAGCUACCUUUCCCAGUUGAAAGCUGUAAGUUAACACAACAUCAAAACAAAGCCUACAUGUAUAAUUAUCUCAAAGUUGGCAAUAAUCAAAGCACGAAAUUCUACAACAUUUUGCCAUUAACUGACGACAAAGUGUCAUGUGCACAACUAUUGCCUUUAAUUGUGGCAAACUAAAUUCUUAAUUCCUAGUGCGGUACGAAAUCUAACAGUUACAAAGCAAAUUCUAACACCACCUGGAUAUCUCUAAUUCCAUUUAAGACCAUGUAUAUGUAUGAAUCUCAUAUUCCUGGCAAAAAUCAGCAAAUUGCAGUGGUCUACUUGGCUCAUCCUGCGCAUUCCAUUUGGCCAUGCAGCUGGGUGUAGCAACUCAAAAGCCCAAAAGGACUUUCAGUGCACAGUUACGGCACAGGAAUCCAGGGGCACGAUGCAAGGAGGCAACAGCAGCAGCUCCAAUGGCAACAAUGGCAGAACAAAUGCCGCCUCGGAUAACGGAAACGGAAGUUGCUUACAAGCGUAGUAAGGCUGCAGGAGCGACAGAGAGGGCGAGAGGAAGUGGCGCACAAUAGAGGGAGAUGGGAUGAUAUGACAUUUUUGCAUAGACGCUAUCUCUGCGAAUGGGCCGAAAACCAAAAUUGUUUAUUUGCCACAGUACCACACACGCACACACUUAAAAAUCGUU